GGGGAGUCCUUUGGGCCCCAUCUGAACCUCUCUCAUUCCAGGAGUCUGAGGAUCUGGCCAGCCGCCUUUAGUAUUCCAGGCAGUGUGUGGGAGAGUUGGAGCAGGCUCUCUGCUGUCUCCACACAGCAGAAGAAAGCAGACAGGUACAACAAGGAGUUAACCAAAGAGAGAGACGCCCUCAGGCUGGAGUUAUACAAGAACAGUUCAUUCCUUUCUCUACUGCCUCUGGCCAUAACCGAAGCAAUGAGGACCUAAAGCAGGAGAAAUCAGAAUUGGAAGAGAAGCUUCAAGUCCUGGUGACUGAGAAGGCUGGCAUGCAGCUUAUUUUAGAAGAGCCGCAAAAGAAAUUACAAAUG
rnacentral:lncRNA from 1 species